rnacentral:rRNA from 1 species
AACCAGACUCCUACGGGAGGCAGCAGUGGGGAAUAUUGCACAACGGGGGAAACCCUGAUGCAGCGACGCCGCGUGAGUGAAGAAGUAAUUCGUUAUGUAAAGCUCUAUCAGCAGGGAAGAAAAUGACGGUACCUGAGUAAGAAGCCCCGGCUAACUACGUGCCAGCAGCCGCGGUAAUACGUAGGGGGCAAGCGUUAUCCGGAUUUACUGGGUGUAAAGGGGGCGCAGACGGCAGCGCAAGCCAGGAGUGAAAGCCCGGGGCCCAACCCCGGGACUGCUCUUGGAACUGCGCGGCUGGAGUGCAGGAGGGGCAGGCGGAAUUCCUGGUGUAGCGGUGAAAUGCGUAGAUAUCAGGAGGAACACCGGUGGCGAAGGCGGCCUGCUGGACUGCGACUGACGUUGAGGCCCGAAAGCGUGGGGAGCAAACAGGAUUAGAUACCCGAGUA